rnacentral:rRNA from 1 species
AUUGAACGCUGGCGGCAGGCCUAACACAUGCAAGUCGAGCGGAUGAAGGGAGCUUGCUCCUGGAUUCAGCGGCGGACGGGUGAGUAAUGCCUAGGAAUCUGCCUGGUAGUGGGGGAUAACGUACGGAAACGGGCGCUAAUACCGCAUACGUCCUGAGGGAGAAAGUGGGGGAUCUUCGGACCUCACGCUAUCAGAUGAGCCUAGGUCGGAUUAGCUAGUUGGCGGGGUAAAGGCCUACCAAGGCGACGAUCCGUAACUGGUCUGAGAGGAUGAUCAAUCACACUGGAACUGAGACACGGUCCAGACUCCUUAGGGAGGCAGCAGUGGGGAAUAUUGGACAAUGGGCGAAAGCCUGAUCCAGCCAAGCCGCGUGUGUGAAAAAGGUCUUCGGAUUGUAAAGCACUUUAAGUUGGGAGGAAGGGCAGUAAGUUAAUACCUUGCUGUUUUGACGUUACCAACAGAAUAAGCACCGGCUAACUUCGUG